CUCGUGGACGUCGUUGCAGAGGUUUUGGAUCUCCGUCGUCGUCGUUAUCGCAGCAGAGCUCCGUCGCCGUCGCCAUCGCAGCAGAGCUCUGUCGCCGUCACCAUUGCAGCAGAGCUCCGUUGCCGUCGCCAUCGCAGCAGAUCGAACUCCUCCGUCUGUGACUGCUAAAUCCUUCACUCGGCAUCUAUAAAUGAGUAAUAUGGAUAGAAGUUGGAUGUAUCAAAGACUAACUCAGCGCGGUGAUCUUAAUCAAGAUUUAUGGCAAUGGUGAUGGGCUUACUAUCUACUUGCGUCUUUGGACAAUCGAAUACCGCAUCUCUACCGAUGAGACCGAACUAAUCAGGAAAACAUGGACUUGCUUGAAAAGAUUGAAUCUUUGAAACAAGAGCUUGGAUCAGUAAAGUUGAAAUGCAGCAUGAAACAAUCCAAGGGAGUUUUUGCUAUUGAGGGAACACCUAAGUAAGCUGCUUAAGGAAUUUACAGUACUUUUAUGUUUCCAGUAAAGGAAUUGUAAAGGGCAAGAAAUAUUAUACGAUUCACUUACGUUGAGUUGUUCUGUUAUAUUUUUAAAGGAGCAAUGCCUUAUUGAAUUGUUAGAGUUCUUA